rnacentral:rRNA from 1 species
AUUGAACGCCGGCGGCAUGCCUUACACAUGCAAGUCGAACGGCAGCACGGGAGCAAUCCUGGUGGCGAGUGGCGAACGGGUGAGUAAUAUAUCGGAACGUGCCCAGUGAUGGGGGAUAGCCCGGCGAAAGCCGGAUUAAUACCGCAUACGACCUACGGGUGAAAGCAGGGGAUCGCAAGACCUUGCGUCAUUGGAGCGGCCGAUAUCAGAUUAGCUUGUUGGGGGGUAAAAGCCUACCAAGGCGACGAUCUGUAGCUGGUCUGAGAGGCGACCAGCCACACUGGGACUGAGACACGGCCCAGACUCCUACGGGAGGCAGCAGUGGGG